rnacentral:rRNA from 1 species
GGCGGCAUGCUACCUGCAAUCGAACGAAGUUCGGCCUUAGUGGCGCACGGUGAGUAACACGUGGGAACCUGCCUUUCGGUUCGAAUAACUUUGGAAACGAACGCUGACACGGAUACGCCCCCAAAAAAUUUGGCCGGGAAAGUUCACGCCGAGAAAAGGGCCGAUAUCAGAUUAGGUAGUUGGUGAGGUAAAGGCUCACCAAGCCGACGAUCUGUAGCUGGUCUGAGAGAGGACGACCAGCCACACUGGGACUGAGACACGGCCCAGACUCCUACGGGAGGCAGCAGUGGGGAAUUUUGGACAAUGGGGGCAAGCCUGAUCCAGCAAUGCCGCGU